UUGAUUAUUUAACAUUUACUCGGACAUCACUGGUAACUAGGAUUUGUAUAAACCUCUGGCGGGCGCGAGCCGCCCCCAAGCAAUUAAUGCCCGGGGCCGGCAUGAGCCGUAUAGCCUGCUCAAGGCCCGCCAAAGCAACGAAGGUAAGGUAGACAUGGGGUUGAGAAACACGACAACCGCCGGCCGAGCCCAGAUGGACCCGAACGACAGCCGCCGCUGGAGGCUAGGCCCCCGAACUCAAUAAUGAUCCUUCCGCAGGUUCACCUACGGAAA
rnacentral:misc_RNA from 1 species